UGGACAAAUGUCGUCACACGGCCACCUCUGCAUCUUGCUGCUCCUCGAUUCCCCGAGCAAACAGCCUGAUCAGCUGGCACUGGACACUGUGGAGAAAAGAAAUCCAGGCAUCAUCGCAAUUAAUCCUCAUAGAGAGCCGAGAUCUCAGCGGGAACACAACUCCCAAGCAGUUACCCCGUGCUGUGGAUAUUUCCAAGUCACUCACUUGGGAUCAUAGAAAGUGUUAACCACGUCUCCUGGCAACGCUCUCAGCAGCUCUUCUGAUAUUUCACCAAAACUUAAAAGUGGAAAAUAAAACUUGGAACUGUGAGUUUUUUGUCUCAGAGCUCCAUGAAGGCAGAGCUGUCGGGCACGGAGCGUAAUCUGUUUCUACUUAGGCUUUGAAACGUGAAUCAUUUUGGGCAAUUUAAGCAAAAUUUACAACUUAAUACGAAGAAGGAAUGUGUGGAUAAGAAUAAGGUGAUGCAAGAA